rnacentral:rRNA from 1 species
CCUUGACAUACUAAGAACUUUCCAGAGAUGGAUUGGUGCCUUCGGGAACUUAGAUACAGGUGCUGCAUGGCUGUCGUCAGCUCGUGUCGUGAGAUGUUGGGUUAAGUCCCGCAACGAGCGCAAUCCUUUUCCUAUUUGCCAGCGGGUCAUGCCGGGAACUUUAAGGAUACUGCCAGUGACAAACUGGAGGAAGGCGGGGACGACGUCAAGUCAUCAUGGCCCUUACGGCCAGGGCUACACACGUGCUACAAUGGUCGGUACAAAGGGUUGCUACCUCGCGAGAGGAUGCUAAUCUCAAAAAGCCGAUCGUAGUCCGGAUCGCAGUCUGCAACUCGACUGCGUGAAGUCGGAAUCGCUAGUAAUCGCGGAUCAGAAUGCCGCGGUGAAUACGUUCCCGGGCCUUGUACACACCGCCCGUCACACCAUGGGAGUUUGUUGCACCAGAAGUAGGUAGUCUAACCGCAAGGAGGACGCUUACCACGGUGUGGCCGAUGACUGGGGUGAAGUCGUAACAAGGUAGGCGUAGAUGA